rnacentral:rRNA from 1 species
GGAUUGCCCUAGUAACGGCGAGUGAAGCGGCAACAGCUCAAAUUUGAAAUCUGGCUCUUUUAGAGUCCGAGUUGUAAUUUGCAGAGGGCGCUUUGGCUUUGGCAGCGGUCCAAGUUCCUUGGAACAGGACGUCACAGAGGGUGAGAAUCCCGUACGUGGUCGCUGGCUAUUGCCGUGUAAAGCCCCUUCGACGAGUCGAGUUGUUUGGGAAUGCAGCUCUAAAUGGGAGGUACAUUUCUUCUAAAGCUAAAUAUUGGCCAGAGACCGAUAGCGCACAAGUAGAGUGAUCGAAAGAUGAAAAGCACUUUGGAAAGAGAGUCAAACAGCACGUGAAAUUGUUAAAAGGGAAGCGCUUGCAGCCAGACUUGCUUACAGUUGCUCAUCCGGGCUUUUGCCCGGUGCACUCUUCUGUAGGCAUGCCAGCAUCAGUUUGGGCGGUAGGAUAAAGGUCUCUGUCACGUACCUCCUUUCGGGGAGGCCUUAUAGGGGAGACGACAUACUACCAGCCUGGACUGAGGUCCGCGCAUCUGCUAGGAUGCUGGCGUAAUGGCUGUAAGCGGCCCGUCUUGAAACACGGACCAAGGAGUCUAACAUCUAUGCGAGUGUUUGGGUGUCAAGCCCGAGCGCGUAAUGAAAGUGAACGGAGGUGGGAACCCGCAAGGGUGCACCAUCGACCGAUCCUGAUGUCUUCGGAAGGAUUUGAGUAAGAGCAUGGCUGUUGAGACCCGAAAGAUGGUGAACUAUGCUUGAAUAGGGUGAAGCCAGAGGAAACUCUGGUGGAGGCUCGCAGCGGUUCUGACGUGCAAAUCGAUCGUCAAAUUUGGGCAUAGGGGCGAAAGACUAAUCGAACUAUCUAGUAGCUGGUUCCUGCCGAAGUUCCCCUCAGGAUA